AAUGACUAUGGGUAACACAGCUGGAAAUGUAUCCACGGACACUUACUAGGGUUCUGGAUCUUCACUGUAGAAUCGGGUUCUGGGUGAGGCUUGUGCACCACCUGAGUGCAAACCUGUUCUGUUAAGAUCUACAGAAACACAGGUGCAGUACUCACCCAGGCCUUUAGGGGUAAUACCGCUACUCUCUAGUGGAUUGCUGGCCCAGUAGUAGUAUUUGAGAGUGUGCAUGAGCUGCAGGACUGUGCCCACUCUACGAAUGGUGCUGUAGAUGGUGGCAGUGCCAAUGAAUUCAGCCGACAGGGCUAAAGUUGCUGAGGGUGACUCGUUUUUCUGCACGGACUGGUGAGGGAACAAAAACGGACGUCCGUUUCUCCCGCAGUCAUGUUUCUCAGGUCAUUAUCCAAUCAUUGAGACUUGAGCUUUUGCAGAGUGAGGUUACAUACUCCUCAAGCCCCGUACACACAUGCAGCGACUUCCAGCGACAAAGCGACCUCAUCUCAUUCACUGUCAAUGAGAGCUGGCUACUUCCGGUGACACGAGCGACAACAAACCUCUGGCAACUAGAUGUGGCCGUGGCGAGCGACACAACAAAGUUGAAAAAAGUUUAACUUUAUGCAAACGUUGAGCGACUAUCGGGGGCGACAACCAAUAGGAGUGAAGACGGUGUUGGUGGACCUCAUAUCAUCCAUCUCCUUUGAGAUAAUGGAGUCGAGUGCAGGCAAGACAGAGAAGUUUCUGUGAGCGAUUUCACUGUUCUAUGUGAUUCGUCUGUAACCACAUACAUGGAUAUAAUAAAAAAUGAUGCGUGGAAAAGAAACAGUCAGCAGUCUGAGUGAGUUUGAUUCGUACA